GAGAGUGGAAUUCCACGUGUAGCGGUGAAAUGCGUAGAGAUGUGGAGGAACACCAGUGGCGAAGGCGACUCUCUGGUCUGUAACUGACGCUGAGGAGCGAAAGCGUGGGGAGCGAACAGGAUUAGAUACCCUGGUAGUCCACGCCGUAAACGAUGAGUGCUAAGUGUUAGGGGGUUUCCGCCCCUUAGUGCUGCAGCUAACGCAUUAAGCACUCCGCCUGGGGAGUACGGUCGCAAGACUGAAACUCAAAGGAAUUGACGGGGGCCCGCACAAGCGGUGGAGCAUGUGGUUUAAUUCGAAGCAACGCGAAGAACCUUACCAGGUCUUGACAUCCUCUGACAAUCCUAGAGAUAGGACGUCUCCUUCGGGGGCAGAGUGACAGGUGGUGCAU
rnacentral:rRNA from 1 species